GAUGAAGAACGCAGCGAAAUGCGAUACGUAAUGUGAAUUGCAAAUUCAGUGAAUCAUCGAGUCUUUGAACGCACAUUGCGCCCCCUGGUAUUCCGGGGGGCAUGCCUGUCCGAGCGUCAUUGCUGACCUCAAGCACGGCUUGUGUGUUGGGCCCCGUCCUCCGAUCCCGGGGGACGGGCCCGAAAGGCAGCGGCGGCACCGCGUCCGGUCCUCGAGCGUAUGGGGCUUUGUCACCCGCUCUGUAGGCCCGGCCGGCGCUUGCCGAUCAACCCAAAUUUUUAUCCAGGUUGACCUCGGAUCAGGUAGGGAUACCCGCUGAACUUAAGCAUAUCAAUAAGCGGAGGA
rnacentral:misc_RNA from 1 species